UUAAAGGUAGGUUAAUUUAAACUUAAGAUUUGUGGAAUCUUAGAUCCAAUAGGCUUUUGCG
rnacentral:tRNA from 1 species